UACAGAGGGGGCAAGCGUUGUUCGGAAUUACUGGGCGUAAAGGGCGCGUAGGCGGCCUGUUAAGUCGAACGUGAAAUCCCCGGGCUCAACCCGGGAACUGCGUCCGAUACUGGCAGGCUUGAAUUCGGGAGAGGGAUGUGGAAUUCCAGGUGUAGCGGUGAAAUGCGUAGAUAUCUGGAGGAACACCGGUGGCGAAGGCGGGUCUCUGGGCCGUAACUGACGCUGAGGAGCGAAAGCAUGGGGAGCGAACAGG
rnacentral:rRNA from 1 species